UACGUAGGGGGCAAGCGUUAUCCGGAUUUACUGGGUGUAAAGGGAGCGUAGACGGCAGAGCAAGUCUGAAGUGAAAGCCCGCGGCCCAACUGCGGGACUGCUUUAGAAACUGCCCGGCUAGAGUGCUGGAGAGGUAAGCGGAAUUCCUAGUGUAGCGGUGAAAUGCGUAGAUAUUAGGAGGAACACCAGUGGCGAAGGCGGCUUACUGGACAGUAACUGACGCUGAGGCUCGAAAGCGUGGGGAGCAAACAGG
rnacentral:rRNA from 1 species